rnacentral:rRNA from 1 species
CAACUUUCAACAACGGAUCUCUUGGCUCUCGCGUCGAUGAAGAACGCAGCGAAAUGCGAUAAGUAAUGUGAAUUGCAGAAUUCAGUGAAUCAUCGAAUCUUUGAACGCACCUUGCGCCCCUUGGUAUUCCGAGGGGCAUGCCUGUUUGAGUGUC